CCUCGGAGAGUUUGAUCCUGGCUCAGGACGAACGCUGGCGGCGUGCCUAAUACAUGCAAGUCGAGCGAACAGAAGGGAGCUUGCUCCCGGAUGUUAGCGGCGGACGGGUGAGUAACACGUGGGUAACCUGCCUGUAAGACUGGGAUAACUCCGGGAAACCGGAGCUAAUACCGGAUAGUUCCUUGAACCGCAUGGUUCAAGGAUGAAAGACGGUUUCGGCUGUCACUUACAGAUGGACCCGCGGCGCAUUAGCUAGUUGGUGGGGUAAUGGCUCACCAAGGCGACGAUGCGUAGCCGACCUGAGAGGGUGAUCGGCCACACUGGGACUGAGACACGGCCCAGACUCCUACGGGAGGCAGAGUAGGGAAUCUUCCGCAAUGGACGAAAGUCUGACGGAGCAACGCCGCGUGAGUGAUGAAGGUUUUCGGAUCGUAAAGCUCUGUUGUUAGGGAAGAACAAGUGCGAGAGUAACUGCUCGCACCUUGACGGUACCUAACCAGAAAAGCCACGGGUAACUACGUGCCACCAGCCGCGGUAAUACGUACGUGGCAAGCGUUGUCCGGAAUUAUUGGGCGUAAAGGGCUCCCCAGGCGGUUUCUUAAAUCUGAUGUGAAACCCCCCGGCUCACCCGGGGAGGGUCAUUGGAAAACUGGGAAACUUGAGUUGCAGAAAAAGAGAGUGGAAUUCCCCCUGUAUCAGUGAAAUGCGUAAAAUGGGGGAGGAACACCAGUGGCGAAGGCGACUCUCUGGUCUGUAACUGACGCUGAGGAGCGAAAGCGUGGGGAGCGAACAGGAUUAGAUACCCUGGUAGUCCACGCCGUAAACGAUGAGUGCUAAGUGUUAGGGGGUUUCCGCCCCUUAGUGCUGCAGCUAACGCAUUAAGCACUCCGCCUGGGGAGUACGGUCGCAAGACUGAAACUCAAAGGAAUUGACGGGGGCCCGCACAAGCGGUGGAGCAUGUGGUUUAAUUCGAAGCAACGCGAAGAACCUUACCAGGUCUUGACAUCCUCUGACAACCCUAGAGAUAGGGCUUUCCCUUCGGGGACAGAGUGACAGGUGGUGCAUGGUUGUCGUCAGCUCGUGUCGUGAGAUGUUGGGUUAAGUCCCGCAACGAGCGCAACCCUUGAUCUUAGUUGCCACAUUUAGUUGGGCACUCUAAGGUGACUGCCGGUGACAAACCGGAGGAAGGUGGGGAUGACGUCAAAUCAUCAUGCCCCUUAUGACCUGGGCUACACACGUGCUACAAUGGACAGAACAAAGGGCUGCGAGACCGCAAGGUUUAGCCAAUCCCAUAAAUCUGUUCUCAGUUCGGAUCGCAGUCUGCAACUCGACUGCGUGAAGCUGGAAUCGUUAGUAAUCGCGGAUCAGCAUGACGCGGUGAAUACGUUCCCGGGCCUUGUACACACCGCCCUUCACACCACGAGAGUUUGCAACACCCGAAGUCGCCAAGGUAACCUUUAGGGAGCCAGCCAGC
rnacentral:rRNA from 1 species